rnacentral:rRNA from 1 species
AGGGCGCACGGUGGAUGCCUUGGCACUAGGAGCCGACGAAGGACGUGACAAACGACGAUAUGCCUUGGGUAGCUGUAAGUAAGCGAUGAUCCAGGGAUUUCCGAAUGGGGGAACCCAACAGGUAGCACCUGUUACCCACAUAGGUUAAGGAUGUGAGGAGGAAGACGCAGUGAACUGAAACAUCUAAGUAGCUGCAGGAAGAGAAAGCAAAAGCGAUUGCCUUAGUAGCGGCGAGCGAAACGGCAGAAGGGCAAACCGAAGAGUUUACUCUUCGGGGUUGUAGGACUGCAAUGUGGACUCAAAGAUUAUAGAAGAAUGAUUUGGGAAGAUCAGCCAAAGAGAGUAAUAGCCUCGUAUUUAAAAUAGUCUUUGUACCUAGCAGUAUCCUGAGUACGGCGGGACACGUGAAAUCCCGUCGGAAUCUGGGAGGACCAUCUCCCAACCCUAAAUACUCCCUAGUGACCGAUAGUGAACCAGUACCGUGAGGGAAAGGUGAAAAGCACCCCGGGAGGGGAGUGAAAUAGAACCUGAAACCGUGUGCCUACAACAAGUUCGAGCCCGUUAAUGGGUGAGAGCGUGCCUUUUGUAGAAUGAACCGGCGAGUUACGUUAUGAUGCGAGGUUAAGUUGAAGAGACGGAGCCGUAGGGAAACCGAGUCUGAAUAGGGCGCCUUAGUAUCAUGACGUAGACCCGAAACCAUGUGACCUACCCAUGAGCAGGUUGAAGGUGCGGUAAGACGCACUGGAGGACCGAACCAGGGCACGUUGAAAAGUGCUUGGAUGACUUGUGGGUAGCGGAGAAAUUCCAAACGAACUUGGAGAUAGCUGGUUCUCUCCGAAAUAGCUUUAGGGCUAGCGUCGACAUUAGAGAUUCUUGGAGGUAGAGCACUGUUUGGGUGAGGGGUCCAUCCCGGAUUACCAAUCUCAGAUAAACUCCGAAUGCCAAUGAAUUAUGGUCGGCAGUCAGACUGCGAGUGCUAAGAUCCGUAGUCGAAAGGGAAACAGCCCAGACCACCAGCUAAGGUCCCAAAAUAAUUGUUAAGUGGAAAAGGAUGUGGGGUUGCACAGACAACUAGGAUGUUAGCUUAGAAGCAGCUAUUCAUUCAAAGAGUGCGUAAUAGCUCACUAGUCGAGUGACCCUGCGCCGAAAAUGUACCGGGGCUAAAACAAUUUACCGAAGCUGUGGAUACCUUUAUAGGUAUGGUAGGAGAGCGUUCUAUGUGUGAUGAAGGUAUACCGUGAGGAGUGCUGGAACGCAUAGAAGUGAGAAUGCCGGUAUGAGUAGCGAAAGACAGGUGAGAAUCCUGUCCACCGUAAGACUAAGGUUUCCAGGGGAAGGCUCGUCCGCCCUGGGUUAGUCGGGACCUAAGGAGAGACCGAAAGGUGUAUCCGAUGGACAACAGGUUGAUAUUCCUGUACUAGAGUAUGUAGUGAUGGAGGGACGCAGUAGGCUAACUAAAGCAGACGAUUGGAAGAGUCUGUCUAAGCAGUGAGGUGUGAAUUGAGUCAAAUGCUUAAUUCUAUAACAUUGAGCUGUGAUGGGGAGCGAAGUUUAGUAGCGAAGUUAGUGACGUCACACUGCCAAGAAAAGCUUCUAGCGUUUAACCAUACUCUACCCGUACCGCAAACCGACACAGGUAGUCGAGGCGAGUAGCCUCAGGUGAGCGAGAGAACUCUCGUUAAGGAACUCGGCAAAAUGACCCCGUAACUUCGGGAGAAGGGGUGCUGACUUUAAGUCAGCCGCAGUGAAUAGGCCCAAGCAACUGUUUAUCAAAAACACAGCUCUCUGCUAAAUCGUAAGAUGAUGUAUAGGGGGUGACGCCUGCCCGGUGCUGGAAGGUUAAGAGGAGUGCUUAGCGUAAGCGAAGGUAUGAAUUGAAGCCCCAGUAAACGGCGGCCGUAACUAUAACGGUCCUAAGGUAGCGAAAUUCCUUGUCGGGUAAGUUCCGACCCGCACGAAAGGCGUAAUGAUUUGGGCACUGUCUCAACGAGAGACUCGGUGAAAUUUUAGUACCUGUGAAGAUGCAGGUUACCCGCGACAGGACGGAAAGACCCCAUGGAGCUUUACUGCAGUUUGAUAUUGAGUGUCUGUACCACAUGUACAGGAUAGGUAGGAGUCUAAGAGAUCGGGACGCCAGUUUCGAAGGAGACGCUGUUGGGAUACUACCCUUGUGUUAUGGCCACUCUAACCCAGAUAGGUGAUCCCUAUCGGAGACAGUGUCUGACGGGCAGUUUGACUGGGGCGGUCGCCUCCUAAAAGGUAACGGAGGCGCCCAAAGGUUCCCUCAGAAUGGUUGGAAAUCAUUCGCAGAGUGUAAAGGUAUAAGGGAGCUUGACUGCGAGAGCUACAACUCGAGCAGGGACGAAAGUCGGGCUUAGUGAUCCGGUGGUUCCGUAUGGAAGGGCCAUCGCUCAACGGAUAAAAGCUACCCUGGGGAUAACAGGCUUAUCUCCCCCAAGAGUUCACAUCGACGGGGAGGUUUGGCACCUCGAUGUCGGCUCGUCGCAUCCUGGGGCUGUAGUCGGUCCCAAGGGUUGGGCUGUUCGCCCAUUAAAGCGGCACGCGAGCUGGGUUCAGAACGUCGUGAGACAGUUCGGUCCCUAUCCGUCGCGGGCGUAGGAAAUUUGAGAGGAUCUGCUCCUAGUACGAGAGGACCAGAGUGGACUUACCGCUGGUGUACCAGUUGUCUUGCCAAAGGCAUCGCUGGGUAGCUAUGUAGGGAAGGGAUAAACGCUGAAAGCAUCUAAGUGUGAAACCCACCUCAAGAUGAGAUUUCCCAUGAUUAU